rnacentral:rRNA from 1 species
UACGUAGGGGGCAAGCGUUGUCCGGAUUUAUUGGGCGUAAAGAGCGUGUAGGCGGCCAGACAGGUCCGUUGUGAAAACUAGAGGCUUAACCUCUGGACGUCGAUGGAAACCGUCUGGCUAGAGUCCGGAAGAGGAGAAUGGAAUUCCUGGUGUAGCGGUGAAAUGCGCAGAUAUCAGGAAGAACACCCGUGGCUAAGGCGGUUCUCUAGUACGGUACUGACGCUGAGACGCGAAAGCGUGGGGAGCGAACAGG